rnacentral:rRNA from 1 species
GAGUUUGAUCCUGGCUCAGGACGAACGCUGGCGGCGUGCUUAACACAUGCAAGUCGAACGGAAAGGCCCUGCUUGCAGGGUACUCGAGUGGCGAACGGGUGAGUAACACGUGGGUGAUCUGCCCUGCACUUCGGGAUAAGCCUGGGAAACUGGGUCUAAUACCGGAUAGGACCAUCGUUUAGUGUCGGUGGUGGAAAGUUUUUCGGUGCAGGAUGAGCUCGCGGCCUAUCAGCUUGUUGGUGGGGUAAUGGCCUACCAAGGCGUCGACGGGUAGCCGGCCUGAGAGGGUGGACGGCCACAUUGGGACUGAGACACGGCCCAGACUCCUACGGGAGGCAGCAGUGGGGAAUAUUGCACAAUGGGCGCAAGCCUGAUGCAGCGACGCCGCGUGGGGGAUGAAGGCCUUCGGGUUGUAAACUCCUUUCAACCAUGACGAAGCAUUAUGUGACGGUAGUGAGAAGAGGCC